AGGGCCAGUAACCAGCAGGUAGCCUAGUGGUUAGAGCGUCGGGCCAGUAACCGAAAGGUUGCUAGAUUGAAUCCCCGAGCUGACAAGGUAAAAAUCUGUUCUGCCCCUGAACAAGGCAGUUAACUCACUGUUCCACAGGCGCCGAAAGACGUGGAUUUCGAUUAAGGCAGCCCCUCGUACCUCUCUGAUUCAGAGGGGUUGGGUUAAAUGUGGAAGACAUUUCAGUUGAAUGCAUUCGGUUGCACAACUGACUAGGUAUCCCCUUUCCCUUCUCAAACAAUUUAUUACAGGGGUUCAUUGAAUGUCCUUAACGUUUUUAAACGGUUUGUUUUGGUCCUGGGAACAGAUUGUUCUGAGCCAGUUAUGUUGAUGACAAGCUAGGAGUGAAACGGGUUGUCAGUGUUUAAUGGGUUGUAGUUGAUGCCUUCUGAUUGCAUUGUGUUGAACUGUGGUACACGCACACACACACACAACUGAACUCCAAAUUGUGUGUUACGAUGGGUCUGUCAGACUGUCAAUGUUAGUUAGCACCAGCUCCUCACCUGCCCUGUACUGUAAAUAUCCAAUCAGACAUCACUAUCAAUCUGCUCUACUCCUCUUGAUAAUGUUGGGAGGUAUUGCUGUUGUUAAAUGAGAUGCAUUGAAUUGCUAAUCAAAGGAGCUGGUUCUUGUUAUUUUGAGGCUGUAUAAUUUGAGUCGUCACAAUGCAAGUGGAAGUGUAGCGUCAGUGAUUUUAAUGUCAAUUCAUCACACUUCCUUUUCGCUUUGGACUCUUUCUCCGGCUGAAACCUUCAGUGCAGCAUUUGAAUGGGGUCUUAUACCUUCCCUCGGUUUGACCCGUUUGUUUUGUUGUUCAAAUCUACAAGAGGAAGGGGCCUCUAAUUGUUGCAGCUCUAUUUUGAAUUUUGACUCUUCCUAAAGAAGGACCAAUGAUCAACUGGACCAAGUUUGUGUUCCAAAUGGCACCCUAUUCCCUAUAUAGUGCACUACGUUAGUGGGGCCCUAUUCCCUAUAUAGUGCACUACUUUAGAGCAGGUCCCAUAGGGCUUGGGUUAAAAGUAUUGCACAAUGUAGUAAAUAGGGUGCCAUUUGGGACAUAAUCCUAACUGUCUUGUCGGUCUCUUAUUGAGGAAAAAUAACAUCUGUUUUAAAUAAAUCACUGUUUUAAAACAUGUUGCUUCUCUUUGGGUACUUUCUCUUGGUACAUGUUUAGGGCCAGGGUCGCAUUCAUUAGUGCACAUGGUAGCAAAAAUGUUUUGCAAUGGAAAACCAAGUUUUCUUAUUGAACAAGUUCAGGUAGUCCCUCCCUGUUUCAUUCCAUUUAUUCUGUUUGGUGCCUAGUGUAUAUGACUGAGCUGGUUUAGCAGGUCUUG
ensembl:lncRNA